rnacentral:rRNA from 1 species
AGGAUGAACGCUAGCUACAGGCUUAACACAUGCAAGUCGAGGGGCAGCAGGAAUCUAGCUUGCUAGAUUGCUGGCGACCGGCGCACGGGUGAGUAACGCGUAUCCAACCUUCCCCAUAGUAGAGGAUAGCCCGGCGAAAGUCGGAUUAAUACUCUAUGCUGUAUUUUGAGGACAUCUGACGAAUACCAAAGAUUGAUCGCUAUGGGAUGGGGAUGCGUCUGAUUAGGUUGUUGGCGGGGUAACGGCCCACCAAGCCGACGAUCAGUAGGGGUUCUGAGAGGAAGGUCCCCCACAUUGGUACUGAGACACGGACCAAACUCCUACGGGAGGCAGCAGUGAGGAAUAUUGGUCAAUGGGCGAGAGCCUGAACCAGCCAAGUAGCGUGCCAGGAUGACUGCCCUAUGGGUUGUAAACUGCUUUUAUAGGGGAAUAAAGUCCACUACGUGUAGUGGUUUGUAUGUACCCUAUGAAUAAGGACCGGCUAAUUCCGUGCCAGCAGCAGC